rnacentral:rRNA from 1 species
CAAUAGCGUAUAUUUAAGUUGUUGCAGUUAAAAAGCUCGCAGUUGGAUUUCGGGUGGGACGCAGCGGUCUCGCAUUGCGUUUGUACUGCUGCAGCCCUCCUUCUUGCCGGGGGCGGCCUCUCGGACUUCACUGUCUGGGGGUCAGAAUCGGCGAUGUUACUUUGAGUAAAUUAGAGUGUUCAAAGCAAGCUUACGCUCUGAAUAUAAUAGCAUGGGAUAACACGACAGGACUCUGGCCUAUCGUGUUGGUCUAUAGGACCAGAGUAAUGAUUAAGAGGGACAGUCGGGGGCAUUCGUAUUCCGUUGUCAGAGGUGAAAUUCUUGGAUUUACGGAAGACGAACAUCUGCGAAAGCAUUUGCCAAGGAUGUUUUCAUUGA